UACGAAGGGGGGCUAGCGUUGCUCGGAAUUACUGGGCGUAAAGGGCGCGUAGGCGGCCUUCUAAGUCGAACGUGAAAUCCCCGGGCUCAACCCUGGAAUUGCCUUCGAUACUGGAGAUCUUGAGACCGGAAGAGGUAAGUGGAACUGCGAGUGUAGAGGUGAAAUUCGUAGAUAUUCGCAAGAACACCAGUGGCGAAGGCGGCUUACUGGUCCGGUUCUGACGCUGAGGCGCGAAAGCGUGGGGAGCAACAGG
rnacentral:rRNA from 1 species